GAUGAACGCUGGCGGCGUGCCUAAUACAUGCAAGUCGAGCGAACAGACGAGGAGCUUGCUCCUCUGACGUUAGCGGCGGACGGGUGAGUAGCACGUGGAUAACCUACCUAUAAGACUGGGAUAACUUCGGGAAACCGGAGCUAAUACCGGAUAAUAUAUUGAACCGCAUGGUUCAAUAGUGAAAGACGGUUUUGCUGUCACUUAUAGAUGGAUCCGCGCCGCAUUAGCUAGUUGGUAAGGUAACGGCUUACCAAGGCAACGAUGCGUAGCCGACCUGAGAGGGUGAUCGGCCACACUGGAACUGAGACACGGUCCAGACUCUUACGGGAGGCAGCAGUAGGGAAUCUUCCGCAAUGGGCGAAAGCCUGACGGAGCAACGCCGCGUGAGUGAUGAAGGUCUUCGGAUCUUAAAACUCUGUUAUUAGGGAAGAACAAAUGUGUAAGUAACUAUGCACGUCUUGACGGUACCUAAUCAGAAAGCCACGGCUAACUACGUG
rnacentral:rRNA from 1 species